GCCAGGUGUGGUGGCUCACACCUGUAAUCCCAACACUUUGGGAGGCCGAGGUGGGCGGAUCACUUGAGGUCAGGAGUUCAAGACCAGCCUGACCAACAUGGUGAAACCCCAUCUCUA
rnacentral:SRP_RNA from 1 species